rnacentral:lncRNA from 1 species
AGGAUAGGAGAGGAGAUGGUGGUCAGAAUGUAAAAAUUUAUUAAUUAAAUAAAAUUAAUUAAUGAAAUUUAGUUAAUUUUAAAAUUAAUUAAUUAAAAAGGAGAGGAUGUCGGCACCCAAGAGUAGGUUCAGAUUCUGCAAACAGAGAAGUGUGAUAGGGUCCUUGGUGAUAUAAAAGGUCCAAAGUAUCCAGAGUAAUGACAGGUUCACAGCCAAUGCUCAAAGGGUGACGACUCAUAUAAUCUCACACUGGGAACAAUCUGGACAAAGUUCAGGAGGGUACCACUCCAUUUGUAUUAUAUUUUUAAAAUGAAUUUUGUAGUUGUGUGCAUGUACAGGGGCUGCAUACAUGUGUGAGAGUUUUGUGUACACACACACACACACACACACACACACACACACACAUAUGUACACAUUCAUGUUGAGGAAUGUUGAGGACAGACAUCAACCUUGGGUGUUGUUUCCUAAGGUUCUAUCCAUUGUUUCUUGAGAUAAGGUUUCUCUCUGAAGCUGUUCAAGUAGCCCAAGUUGAUUAGCCAAUGAACCCCAGACACCUACCUGUCUCUGUCUCUACAGGACAUCACUACACCCACGCUUUUACUUGGGUUCUUGAGAUGAUACACGUGAUCAUGGAGAUCUUCUUGCUUGUAUGGCUUCCUAUCAACCACUAUUAACAUGCCACAUGGGAGACAGGUUUUACCCAUAACACAUACUUUCAGACACACAGUAUCUUAGAACAAACAUCUUGGAACUAAUUAGACUGCUCUAACCUCCAGCGCCUCUUUUAUAAGGAGAUGGAGGUUCACAAAAAUUAGCAGGGAGAGGAGAUGAAAAUUGAGGCCAGGAUGAUUUACAAACUUGGGAUGCAAUCCAGUCAUUCCACACAAGCCUGAUGUUUCCAGGGAUGGAAUUGACUGCAGCCUGAGAGCUCAAGGUCUGUCUAGGUGGACACUCAAUUAUGGAAGGGCUCAGACAGUUGAGUGAGCUGAAUGUACUGGGUGGGAGAUGGUGGGAGAUGGUGGGAGACAGUAGGAGAUGGUGGGAGACGUUGGGAGAUGGUGGGAGGUGAUGGGAGAUUGUGGGAGAUGGUGGGAGGUAGUGGGAGAUGGUGGGAGAUGGUAGGAGAUGGUGGGAGUCAAAGUGAGAGGAGUACACAAGUCAUUCAGAGUCCCCAGACUCUUUAUCUAAGAUAAGGCUUGACCAUCAAAGGGAGGCUCAGCCCUUCAUGCUCACUGGGCAUCUCCAGAAGCUGGAGACCAAGUGAGGGUCUGAGAGGAACAACUUGGUUCAACAGUCCAUCAUUUCAACCUUGUGCUCUUUUCAUGAGAGUAAAACCCAGAGAGGGACCGGUGACAAGCAGAGGCCAUAGUCAGCUGGAAGCACUUGGCUGUCCCAGAGUCAGAGUGCUGUACUGAAAGUGUUUAAAAGCCUCAGAGCUGGGACUGUGCUGCCCGUGGCAGCCUUGGCUCCCACCAGAGAGCCCAGAGAGCGUUAGAAACAGGCACCAACUGCCACAUCAGCGAAGCUGGCUGGGCUCGGCUGCACAAAGCCAGCUGGUACCAAGUCUCCAGUGCUCACUCAAGAUAAUGGCAUCUGCAGGGCGGUGGCAUGUACCCAGAGGCCUCACAGUUCUCCUGUGUACUGCUCAGGAUAGACUUUCUCAGUUACUACUGUCACCAAUCAACACUAGUGCCAAUCUCAAGUCUCCUUCUAAGAUUGGUUCUAAUAUUCUUCCUACAUCUCAAAGAACAGCCUGCUACAAGGGUCAGCUUUAGCAAGCCUCCACUCUCUUUAACAUCAGCUUGCUGUGCCCAAAGCUCUGGCCAAGUUCCUACCUGCUUUCACAUUCAUCUGCCUCUGGACUUGCAGCUCCCUAGAAGACCAAACAUCCGUCUCACAGACACCACAUUCCUAAGGAUGGACUCAGAUACAUGCAUUUUUUGAAAAUCAUGAGAAAACGGGGCCAGCAAGAUGACUCAGCAGGUGAAAGCACUUGCUAGCAACAAGCUUAAUGACCAGUGUCAAUCCGCAGAGCCCACUCUGGUGGAAGAGAACUGACUUGUGAAAAUUGUCCUCUGAUUUCCACACAUAAUGCAGUGGCCUCUAUGUGCACACACAUACAUAGGAUGUAAUGCUUUUUAAUUCCUAAGAAACUAAAUUAAAAAAAAUAGAAUGAAUAAAUGAAUUCAUCAAGGUUAUAUAAUACAAUAUCAAUAUACAAAAUUAUAUUCUAUAUACUUUCUUUGAAUAAAAUACAAGGCAUUGUUG